rnacentral:lncRNA from 1 species
CUCCUUUUCUGGAAGGCCUUCCCUCCACUUGGGCAAAGUUUAGAAUCUCUGAACUUUCCUUUUCUUCAAUCAGGUCAAGCACUCCUGUGCAGGGAGGAACCGACACCAAAGGCCAAGGAAUGGUCUCCAACACCCCAACUCAUUAAUAUCGUCAGCAUCCUAACAAAUGGGAGGCCGGAGAGCCAGACCGAGCGGCCACUUGGUCACACAGAUGGUGCAGUUUAGCUCAUAGCCAAGUUUUUAGGACAAAAUAAGAAUGAAGAAAGAAAUAUUUCAAGGGAGAGGUGGUUAAAAAUUAAAUAGGCACCAGAUGGCUCAAGAUUGUCCUUCCUAUAAAUUUGGUGAAGGAAGGCAUGCUGAAUCCAAAGGCUUUCUGAAUGGGUUUAGAGUUUGAAAAGGAACUUUAGGAAUAUAUAAGGCCUUUAAAAGAAAGCAAUAUUAAGUUUGGAAUGAUAUUGAGUGGAGGUGACAGCAUUAUAUAAACCCUAUUACAUUUUAUUUACUUAUUAUUUAUUUAUUUAGCAUUUAUUAAGAACCUCCUGUGGGCUAGACCCUAUUUCUAAUGUCUGUUAAUGCUACUAAGGAAGGUUAUAGUUUCCUGGAAUAUUGGAAAGCUCCUUGCUUAGGCUAAGAGGGGGAAAAUGUGGAUUU